rnacentral:rRNA from 1 species
GACGAACGCUGGCGGCGUGCUUAACACAUGCAAGUCGAACGGAAAGGCCCUGCUUUUGUGGGGUGCUCGAGUGGCGAACGGGUGAGUAACACGUGAGUAACCUGCCCUUGACUUUGAUAACUUCAGGAAACAGGGGGUAAUACCCGAUAGGAGCUCCUGCUGCAUGGUGGGGGGUGGAAAGUUUCGGCGGUUGGGGAUGGACUCGCGGCUUAUCAGCUUGUUGGUGGGGGAGUGGCUUACCAAGGCUUUGACGGGUAGCCGGCCUGAGAGGGUGACCGGCCACAUUGGGACUGAGAUACGGCCCAGACUCCUACGGGAGGCAGCAGUGGGGAAUAUUGCACAAUGGGCGGAAGCCUGAUGCAGCAACGCCGCGUGCGGGAUGACGGCCUUCGGGUUGUAAACCGCUUUCGCCUGUGACGAAGCGUGAGUGACGGUAAUGGGUAAAGAAGCACCGGCUAACUACGUG